UAAGCACGUUCGACCAAAAAUUGGUAUGGAACCGGAAAUCGGCCGCUAAAUGUUCCAUCGCAUCAGACACGAUAUUUUCAACACUUGGCCGAUUCCAAUGUCGGAUCCUCCAUAGCCGGAUCUGUGUUUGUUAUCAAACAAAACAUUAAGUGGGUUGUUGCCUGGAGGAAUGGGAAUAAUGAAGGCAAUAAGGUCUACACUGAGAUUACUACUGACAGUCCUAUUAAUUGGGACAACAUCAAUGCACAACUGAAAAAGGCUACUAACAGUGCUGAAGCCAGUAAGCUAGGAUUCAAGUCAACUCUUGACAUUGAUCCCACCAGCAAAAGCCAAACUUGAAUGCAAAACUCGAGGAAGCUUGAUCUCUAACUCUCUUGGUUAAAAAUGCUGCUUUGCAUGCACUACUACUAUUAAAAUAAGGAAGGUUGGGUAAUAAAUGACUUGUGUUCAAGUCUUCGUCCUUAAAUCCCCUUCCCCCUUUUCGAAGUCUUUCAAUGUCUAAUAUAAGUCAAGUCAUGUAUGGUGCUUUUUUAUACUGAAAAUAAAAAGGUAUUUUUAUUA